rnacentral:rRNA from 1 species
GAUGAACGCUGGCGGCGUGCCUAAUACAUGCAAGUCGAGCGAACAGACGAGGAGCUUGCUCCUCUGACGUUAGCGGCGGACGGGUGAGUAACACGUGGAUAACCUACCUAUAAGACUGGGAUAACUUCGGGAAACCGGAGCUAAUACCGGAUAAUAUAUUGAACCGCAUGGUUCAAUAGUGAAAGACGGUUUUGCUGUCACUUAUAGAUGGAUCCGCGCCGCAUUAGCUAGUUGGUAAGGUAACGGCUUACCAAGGCGACGAUGCGUAGCCGACCUGAGAGGGUGAUCGGCCACACUGGAACUGGGACACGGUCCAGACUCCUACGGGAGGCAGCAGUAGGGAAUCUUCCGCAAUGGGCGAAAGCCUGACGGAGCAACGCCGCGUGAGUGAUGAAGGUCUUCGGAUCGUAAAGCUCUGUUAUUAGGGAAGAACAAAUGUGUAAGUAACUAUGCACGUCUUGACGGUACCUAAUCAGAAAGCCACGGCUAACUACGUG